CCGUCGAUAGCUCAGUUGGCAGAGCGGUGGACUGUAGAUCCAUAGGUCGCUGGUUCGACUCGGCUCGACGGA
rnacentral:tRNA from 2 species